AGAGAAGUGAUACUCCCACUGCUUUUAGCUUUGCUGCAUGUUAUGUGAGCACCGUAAAAGCUGCAGGGGGAAAUAAAAUUUUCAAGAGGCAAAUGUUCAGAACUUCUCAGCAGCAGAAAUAUACAGACAGGCCAUGGAUUUCUUGUGAUCAUAAUGGGUACUGCAGAAUGGGCACUGCGACACUCAGAGAAAUGAUUCAGGAGCUGUCCCUGGGAGUACAGACUCACACUAUAAGCUGAUGAUUUGGUCUGACCUGAAGAGUCUAACUGAAGAGGGCCUUUCCGUGAAGCGGUAGAGAAGACUGUCAUCUCCUAAUGAAUUCCAGGUAGCAAAUGAAGUCACAGGCUCUAUUUAAUACAUUACCCAAGAUUUGAACUGAUGGAGAUGAUCAAAUCCAUCUGCCAAUGGAUUUCACAGAAUCACAGCAGCUUGGGAGGGAUCUUCAGAAGCCAUCUGGACUAAUUCCUUGCUCAAGCCAGAACACACAGAACCUGUUGCCAGAACCAUGUCUAAAAGGCUUUUGAAUACCUUCAAAAAUGGAGACUCCAUAACCUCCCCAGGCAAUCUGUGCCAGUGCUUGGUCAUCCUCACAAUAAAAAAGUG